CGAGAAAUGGUCCAAAUUUUUUUUGCACUCUCUGCUUCAAUCUCCCACUCUUCUUUUUGGUUUCUCUUCUUCAAUCUUUGAAGCCUAGCAUACUGGUUAAGCAUUGUUCUAAGAGGCCUAAGAUGGCGGCAUGGGCUCUCAUGCCGAUGGUUUGAUGCUUAGAAAUUUGAUAUCAUGGAACUGACUUAAGUUGCUGAACUGAUCUAUUCCAGGAGAACAAUCUUGGAGAGAUAAAUUAGCUGCUCCAAUUUGAGUUACUUUGAUAGUUGAACACUUUGGAUAUUAAUAUCUGCAGAGAUACAUGAGCUUGGGAGUUGAUUUUCCAAUUAAUAUCUUGAGGAUCUAGUGCUUAUCAUGGGUUGAAGUGUACAAAGGCACUGGAGCCAGAUGUUGUUCUUUAGUUUCUACACUAUAGUCCUUCAGAUGCCAGAAAGUCAGAAACCAGACUGUUACUUUGCUGAGGCAUUGCAGAAACAUGAAGAUAAACAUGAAAGGAUGAUUUGGCCAAGCUUCGGAAGAAGAAGGAUGCAGAAAAGG